AGAAGACGAUUUUCAGGCGACGUCGGCCAUCUUGUGACUGUCUCGCGGACCAGGAGGAAGGGGGGAGGAGGAGGAGAGACGGGAAGAGCCGUGGAGGCUGGGAGAUGGAUUUCCUCCUGCUGAAAAUUCUCAUUACGUGUACGCGCAGCGGACGUGCUAAGAACUCCAUCUUCCAGGGAGACUUGGACCGUAGGAGGGGACCAACCGAAAUCGGAAUGAACUCAUUUUCUUGAUCGAGAAGAAUGAACCUUUCCCAUUUGUAGCGCUUUCCGUUGUGCUGUAUGUGUCUUAGUGGAGGGUUUCGGAAUGAUGACUUUUUUUAAAGAGUGGAAGAUGCAUUUUCCUGUUUUUCUUGUGACUGAACUGUGAACAAGAUGUAGUCUAAGUCUGGGCUAGCCUGUUACCACUAGUGAAGCUAUAGAAUAAUAAUACUCAGUUUUACAGACUUGAAGUUUGAGUUCAGGUUUCAAUGGUCGAUAUUUCCCAAACAUGUUUAAGUAGUGUAACAGUUUCGGAAAACGAUCUGUGCGCUCCCGCCUCAGCCCCGGUAGCUGUGGCAGCCCGGAGUCGCGAACGCGCCGCGCGCUUACUCAGUGCUUGUUGUACGAACGUCCGGCUACUCGUACAAGUGAAAUCCCGCGAGAAGUGCCGCCUAAGGGCCCACUAAACACUCAACAGUCCAGCUGUGUAAUUCUUUUCAUUGCUGCCCUAAAGUUUUAACCCCGAGGUGUUUAUUUUAUUCCCUUGUGUUCCAUUAUGGACUUCGCACUAUAUACCCGAGUCUCUGACUCCUCUUCAGUGGUCACUGCUGUGGGUCACUCCUGGAGGUCCUUCUCUCUCGCUUCCCUCAGUGCUCGGGGGCGUGAGCCGCUCUGAGGGGCUACAGGGAUGCAGCUGCCUCUCUCCUCUUGUGAAACUGCUGCACUUUUGGAUGUCUACAAGUUAAAAGUGUGUGCAGCUCUCUCCUCAGGUUCUCAUCUUCCAAUUCACUUUCAUCUUCAUCAUCAUCUUCAUCAUCACCACCACUGCUCCCAGGGUCAGAGGGGUAGUAGCUGCUGGAGAGAUGAAGGCUUGGGGAAGUCUGCUUCUUCAAAUCCAUCUCAUCCUCGUCCCCGGAGUGCUCCUUCACCUUUCGGUCAAUGUCCGGGGACAGAGGAGCACCAUCUGUCAGUUUGUCCUCAGCCUGUGCCUCCAGCUGGCUCACAGAGAUGUGUCCCACUUUCCUGUGAAUGUUGCUCUGACCGAGGUGCAUUUGCUGUGUUAGGGAAUCCGUGGAGAGGAGGGGCUGUACAGUUACCUGAUGACAGACACCCAAGAAAGAGAGACAUGACUCUUAUGUGCUGUGCCAUUCCUAACACAGUGGUUUCUACUACCUUUAUUGGCUGUAACAUUGACUGUUCAAGUAAUCUUCCUAAUAUACUGGCACUGGGGAAAAUAACAGAGGCUCCUAACUAUGUUAAUUUCAAUGAGCUAACAAGAAGUAGGGCCACCCUUUGCCAUUAG
rnacentral:lncRNA from 1 species